AGGAAAGAGGACACCUGUGCCCCUCCAUCCAACUAUGAAAAACAAAAAAGCUGGCACCAAGAAAUUUGAAUUUUCCCAGGAAUCUCAAUGCUGGGAGAAAGAAAAGGCUGAAGCCUGGUGCCAGCCAAAGAGAGCUUGUCUCUCAGGAAGAGACUUCACAUGGUUCUGCUCGAGUAGCCUUCUCAGUCGAACCGUUCAUGUUGCGAGCUGCUGGCAGCCGCAACAUUUUGGCGCCCGAAGAGGGACCUGAAGAAUGGCAGAGAGAUGCUAAGGGAAACGCUGCUGCUGUGGAGCUCCACAGGAAAGGAUCUUCGUAUCGGACAUCGGAGCAACGGAUAGGUACACAUGCUAGCGCUAGCUUAAAAUUUCAGUUUUGUAAAGUGUUGCUGAGGAUGCGGUAGGAUACGAAUUAAGCUUGAAUCAGUGCUAACCCAACGCUGGUUCUGCUUGGGUCAGCAGCGUGUUAAUCGGAACUAGAAACGGAAGCAGGCAGGUUGGCCGCAGCUUUUUAGAAAGCUGCUUAGGUGAAAGAAGAAAGGGUUUAAAGUCAUGGAUCAGGCGGUUGCCCA
rnacentral:lncRNA from 1 species